AACGAACGCUGGCGGCAUGCCUAACACAUGCAAGUCGAACGAGACCUUCGGGUCUAGUGGCGCACGGGUGCGUAACGCGUGGGAACCUGCCUUUAGGUUCGGAAUAACUCAGAGAAAUUUGAGCUAAUACCGGAUAAUGUCUUCGGACCAAAGAUUUAUCGCCUUUAGAUGGGCCCGCGUUGGAUUAGCUAGUUGGUGGGGUAAAGGCCUACCAAGGCGACGAUCCAUAGCUGGUCUGAGAGGAUGAUCAGCCACACUGGGACUGAGACACGGCCCAGACUCCUACGGAGGCAGCAGUGGGGAAUAUUGGACAAUGGGCGAAAGCCUGAUCCAGCAAUGCCGCGUGAGUGAUGAAGGCCUCGGUUGUAAAGCUCUUUACUU
rnacentral:rRNA from 1 species